CCUACGGGAGGCAGCAGUGAGGAAUAUUGGUCAAUGGACGAGAGUCUGAACCAGCCAAGUAGCGUGAAGGAUGACUGCCCUAUGGGUUGUAAACUUCUUUUAUAUGGGAAUAAAAUGUUCCACGUGUGGGAUUUUGUAUGUACCAUAUGAAUAAGGAUCGGCUAACUCCGUGCCAGCAGCCGCGGUAAUACGGAGGAUCCGAGCGUUAUCCGGAUUUAUUGGGUUUAAAGGGAGCGUAGGUGGAUUGUAAAGUCAGUUGUGAAAGUUUGCGGCUCAACCGAAAAAUUGCAGUUGAAACUGGACGUUGGGAGAGAAGGAGAGGUGAGAGGAAUUGGUGGUGGAGGGGUAA
rnacentral:rRNA from 1 species